CACGUAGGGUGCGAGCGUUGUCCGGAAUUAUUGGGCGUAAAGAGCUCGUAGGCGGUGUGUCGCGUCGGCCGUGAAAACCUGCAGCUUAACUGUGGGCUUGCGGUCGAUACGGGCAUCACUGGAGUUCGGCAGGGGAGACUGGAAUUCCUGGUGUAGCGGUGAAAUGCGCAGAUAUCAGGAGGAACACCGGUGGCGAAGGCGGGUCUCUGGGGCCGAUACUGACGCUGAGGAGCGAAAAGCGUGGGGGAGCGAACAGG
rnacentral:rRNA from 1 species